rnacentral:rRNA from 1 species
UACGAAGGGGGCUAGCGUUGCUCGGAAUUACUGGGCGUAAAGGGCGCGUAGGCGGAUGUUUAAGUUGGGGGUGAAAGCCCGGGGCUCAACCUCGGAAUUGCCUUCAAUACUGGACAUCUUGAGUCCGGGAGAGGUGAGUGGAACUGCGAGUGUAGAGGUGAAAUUCGUAGAUAUUCGCAAGAACACCAGUGGCGAAGGCGGCUCACUGGCCCGGUACUGACGCUGAGGUGCGAAAGCGUGGGGAGCAAACAGG